GACAGAGGUGCCAAGCGUUAGGCGGAAUCACUGGGCUUAAAGCGCACGUAGGCGGAUUGUUAAGUCAGGGGUGAAAUCCUGGAGCUCAACUCCAGAACUGCCUUUGAUACUGGCGAUCUUGAGUCCGGGAGAGGUGAGUGGAACUGCGAGUGUAGAGGUGAAAUUCGUAGAUAUUCGCAAGAACACCAGUGGCGAAGGCGGCUCACUGGCCCGGUACUGACGCUGAGGUGCGAAAGCGUGGGGAGCAAACAGG
rnacentral:rRNA from 1 species